GACGAACGCUGGCGGCGUGCCUAAUACAUGCAAGUAGAACGCUGAAGGAGGAGCUUGCUUCUCUGGAUGAGUUGCGAACGGGUGAGUAACGCGUAGGUAACCUGCCUGGUAGCGGGGGAUAACUAUUGGAAACGAUAGCUAAUACCGCAUAAGAGUAGAUGUCGCAUGACAUUUGCUUAAAAGGUGCAAUUGCAUCACUACCAGAUGGACCUGCGUUGUAUUAGCUAGUUGGUGAGGUAACGGCUCACCAAGGCAACGAUACAUAGCCGACCUGAGAGGGUGAUCGGCCACACUGGGACUGAGACACGGCCCAGACUCCUACGGGAGGCAGCAGUAGGGAAUCUUCGGAAAUGGACGGAAGUCUGACCGAGCAACGCCGCGUGAGUGAAGAAGGGUUUCGGAUCGUAAAGCUCUGUUGUAAGAGAAGAACGAGUGUGAGAGUGGAAAGUUCACACUGUGACGGUAUCUUACCAGAAAGGGACGGCUAACUACGUG
rnacentral:rRNA from 1 species